rnacentral:lncRNA from 1 species
AAGACCUCAAAUAUGUGUGCGAUGUAUUUACUUUGAUUGACAUUUAGAAUUUUUUCAAGCUUAUGGUAAAAUAGCAUUUGCAUGUUGAUAGAGUGAAUACCCCGUCAAAAAUUGAGUGAAUUAGUGAGUGAGAGAUAAGGUUGAACUUUGUACAUUGUGUGGAACGGUCAUUGGACCAAAUUUGAUUCAAGUCUUGGAAGCCAAAGUGUUGAUUGAGUAGGAUCACUGAAGUUAACACCGGUGGUUCUAUUGCCGGAUGAAGAGAAAAAAGUUUGUGAGAUUUUUAUCAUUCAAAUUAAUUUGUUAAUUCCUUGAUAGUUUUGUGUUGACAUGCAUGUCACUUGAGGACAAGUAACAGUUCAAGUUUGGGGUUGUGAUGACAUUCGGUCAUUU